AUUUGGAGCAGCGCAACGAAAACACUACCGGGGAUUUUCGCAUUUCGUAGUGGGAAAGCAGUCACAUCUGGCAACUGAACCCGCGUGCUGGAAUCGGACUAAAGACAAUCCGUGUUCCCAUCGUUAGUACUACAGUAAACGGUUCGUGCCCUCAAACAUGGACAUUGAAUUGAAGAAGAAAGUCGCUAUAAUUUUGACCUAUAAGCGAUGGAAGCGCAGGAGAAAACCAACGAGAUCGUACAUGCGGACUAUCCAACUCCCGGUGUUCAGUGUACGGCGCGUUUCAUCAGCUCGUCCAGGAAAUGCGAAUAGGGGACCCGGAGUAUCACUUUCGUUACUUCAGGUACCUUGCUACCGGUGACACACAACAAACACUAGCCAUGUGCUACCGAAUGGGCAGAGCCACAGUGUCAAAUACAUUACAUGAAGCAUGUCAUGCCAUUUGGAAAGCAUCAUGUGCUGUGAGUUCACGAAGGAUUCCAGACGAAACAUAUAAUAAGACGUUGUUGCCCAGAUAAUCCUGCAAGAAGAGAUGAAUAUUUACGUCAGCAUAUCAUGAGGAGACGGAUGCAUGCCAACAACAGCUUCAUUUCAGGAAGAUGACAGGGGGUUCCAUCGCCAGGACCGAUGCAGUUUGCUAAUGCAGUUUGCAUACGUUAAAAUCGGAUAUGUAUGGACAAAUCCUGUUGUUCGGUUUUGUUUUUUAGAUUGCAGCAUAUUCAGAGUUGCUUUUUCCUACUCAUUACAGAAACAAUAACUGUAUCAUUUCAAGCUGUAUGGAAAUAAAUCGAGGUCGAAUGACGAAGAUGUUCUUUCUU